GGGAAAGAGCAAAGUGCAAAUUUGCAAGAGCACCUUAAAAGGUGCCCCGGCU
rnacentral:tRNA from 1 species